rnacentral:pre_miRNA from 1 species
CUAAUACUCCCUCCGUCCAGAAAUAUUUGUCAUUGAAAUGGAUGUAUCUAGAUGUAUAUUAGUUCUAGAAACAUUCAUUUUCAUCUAUUUUGAUAACAAGUAAUUCCGGACGAAGGGAGUACAAG